AGUUAACCUCUGUAGUGACCAUGUGGAAGUCCCGACCUUGCUUGCAGACUUGACCUCUGGAUUUGACAAGGUGAGGUCCUGUGUUCACUGACACUUCCCCUUUACUUCCCCCGGCUCAUGAAAAGAAGCGCUGAUUCAGCAAAUAGAGUGAAGAGCCGAUCAAGAUGAGAUGGCUGCUGCUGGCGUGACUCUCUGGGUCAUUCUCUCUCUCCCUGCUCAUGACACUAAGCUCACAGGUUCUAGAAGCAAACUACAAAAUAAGAAGAAAUUUGCUCUGAAGACUAUGAAGAAACACUAGGCUGAUCUUACCAAUUUCUGAAAUACACUCUGUAAAUCCCCACUGAUUCAAUGGAUCUCUCUCAAAAAGAACCAAACCAGGACAAAGUUCAACAGAUGACUGGUCAACGUUUAGAAGUGUAUGUCCACCAAGAACAAGGAACCAUAAACAGCACUAAUGCCAUGCCUCAGAUGGAAACUAAAUGUUGCUGAUUUAUAUUUCAUGAGGAAAAAAGUUCUUCUGAAGUAGAUUUAAAAUUAACAUGGAAUUCCUUUUAAAUCCUUUAAGUUUAAAGCAUAAGACAUUCUACAUUUUUAAAUUAAGUACUCACAUGAUUAAAAUUUGAAUACAAAAGAGAAAACAGCGAUACUAGUACAAAAAAAUGAUACACAUGACCCAUUUUCUGUCUCCACAAUUUAAUUUUAAUUUAAAUGUAUCAUAUUAGAAGGGCUGACAUUUAACAAAAGCUGACUUCAUUUGCAUUUCAACAGCUAUUCUUUAUGAAGAAUAAGUAUAAUUAACAAUGUAAUUAUAAUUUAACAAUAUUGUAAGAAUUCCUGAGCAAGUUUUGGUGUUUUAAGUUUUCUUUCUCAAAGCUACAGACAUAGUUAUAAUUUUAAAAGACUAUCUUUCAAGUAAAAUUCUACUCUCAAAGAAAAAAAAGUGGUCCCUGUCCUUCUCCCUAAUCCAGUUUCCACUUUCAAUGCUAUGUAAGUACUUAGUUUAAAUCAAGACAUACAAUUUAUUCAAGAAAAAUGAUAAAAUUCUGGGAAAUAGGUAUAAAUCAAUAGGGCACACUGGCC
rnacentral:lncRNA from 1 species